CUGGUAGUCCACGCCGUAAACGGUGGGCACUAGUUGUGGGAACCUUCCACGGUUUCUGCGACGCAGCUAACGCAUUAAGUGCCCCGCCUGGGGAGUACGAUCGCAAGAUUAAAACUCAAAGGAAUUGACGGGGCCCCGCACAAGCAGCGGAGCAUGCGGCUUAAUUCGACGCAACGCGAAGAACCUUACCAAGGCUUGACAUAUACAGGAAUAUGGCAGAAAUGUCAUAGCCGCAAGGUCUGUAUACAGGUGGUGCAUGGUUGUCGUCAGCUCGUGUCGUGAGAUGUUGGGUUAAGUCCCGCAACGAGCGCAACCCUCGUUCUGUGUUGCCAGCAUUUAGUUGGGGACUCACAGGAGACUGCCGGGGUUAACUCGGAGGAAGGUGGGGAUGACGUCAAAUCAUCAUGCCCCUUAUGUCUUGGGCUGCACGCAUGCUACAAUGGCUGGUACAAACGGCUGCGAUACCGCAAGGUGGAGCGAAUCCGAUAAAGCCAGUCUCAGUUCGGAUUGGGGUCUGCAACUCGACCCCAUGAAGUCGGAGUUGCUAGUAAUCGUAGAUCAGCAACGCUACGGUGAAUACGUUCCCGGGGCUUGUACACACCGCCCGUCACGUCACGAAAGUCGGUAACACCCGAAGUCAGUGGCCCAACCGUAAGGGG
rnacentral:rRNA from 1 species